CGCUUCUCUCAUUCAGAAAUUUCUUUGUUCUAUUUUCCCAUUCUCUUCUUUGUAAACUUAAGCAUCCCUUCUUCUCCAAUGGCCUCCCCUCUAACCGACCUAAAGCAUUGCAUUGGCUAUCCAUCACUGAAAAGCUCUUAACGAAUCGUGACCUAUUUGGCAACAAAUCAUUCGCGACCUGUGCCCGUGAAUCCGACCCGACAUUAGCACCUGCUACCGAUCGAAUACUCAGCAUCGGUUGAUACUUUAAGCGCCGACGACAAAAGGAUAAACAAUCAUCACUUCGACUACUACUCUAUUCUCCAAAUCCAAUACAAGCUUGCGAUUUCGGGAAUCCCUUCACUCCGAUGAGUAGGUCUUGGAUACCAAAGUUUGUCCUGAUAUAGCGGCUGCUGAGCUAACACUUCAGGUUUCAUAAGCCCACAAUUGGAUCCGUAUCCAGAAAAAAGCAUCCAAGGUCAAUCUCAUCGUUGAUGCUGCUACAAGAAUUCUUGAAGCAAAAAACUUUCCUUCUCAUUGGCUAUUCAAUGUAUUCAAGGCAAACUCUAGCUGC